UGGGGAAUAUUGGGCAAUGGGGGAAACCCUGACCCAGCAACGCCGCGUGAAGGAAGAAGGCUUUCGGGUUGUAAACUUCUUUUAUCCAGGGAGCGAAGGACGUGACGGUACCUGGAGAAAAAGCAACGGCUAACUACGUGCCAGCAGCCGCGGUAAUACGUAGGUUGCAAGCGUUGUCCGGAUUUACUGGGUGUAAAGGGCGUGUAGGCGGAGAAGCAAGUUGGGAGUGAAAUCCAUGGGCUCAACCCAUGAACUGCUCUCAAAAACUGUUUCCCUUGAGUAUCGGAGAGGCAAGCGGAAUUCCUAGUGUAGCGGUGAAAUGCGUAGAUAUUAGGAGGAACACCAGUGGCGAAGGCGGCUUGCUGGACGACAACUGACGCUGAGGCGCGAAAGCGUGGGGAGCAAACAGGAUUAGAUACC
rnacentral:rRNA from 1 species